rnacentral:rRNA from 1 species
UAAUACAGAGGUCCCAAGCGUUGUUCGGAUUCACUGGGCGUAAAGGGUGCGUAGGUGGCAAGGUAAGUUUGAUGUGAAAUCUUCGAGCUCAACUCGGAAACUGCAUUGAAUACUAUCUUGCUUGAGGAUUGGAGGGGAGGCUGGAAUUCUCGGUGUAGCAGUGAAAUGCGUAGAUAUCGAGAGGAACACCAGUGGCGAAGGCGAGUCUCUAGACAACUCCUGACACUGAGGCACGAAAGCUAGGGGAGCAAACAGGAUUAGAUACCCUGGUAGUCCUAGCCGUAAACGGUGCAUAUUUGCUGUAAAAGGAAUCGACCCCUUUUGUGGCGUAGCCAACGCGUUAAAUAUGCCGCCUGGGAAGUACGGUCGCAAGAUUA